GCCUGUUCAGCAGCAUUGGUU
rnacentral:misc_RNA from 1 species